rnacentral:rRNA from 1 species
GGGGAAUCUUGCGCAAUGGGCGAAAGCCUGACGCAGCCAUGCCGCGUGAAUGAUGAAGGUCUUAGGAUUGUAAAAUUCUUUCACCGGGGACGAUAAUGACGGUACCCGGAGAAGAAGCCCCGGCUAACUUCGUGCCAGCAGCCGCGGUAAUACGAAGGGGGCUAGCGUUGCUCGGAAUUACUGGGCGUAAAGGGAGCGUAGGCGGACAGUUAAGUCAGAGGUGAAAGCCCAGGGCUCAACCUUGGAAUUGCCUUUGAUACUGGCUGUCUUGAGUAUGGGAGAGGUGUGUGGAACUCCGAGUGUAGAGGUGAAAUUCGUAGAUAUUCGGAAGAACACCAGUGGCGAAGGCGACACACUGGCCCAUUACUGAUGCUGAGGCUCGAAAGCGUGGGGAGCAAAC